rnacentral:rRNA from 1 species
GACGAACGCUGGCGGCGUGCUUUAGGCAUGCAAGUCGAACGCGAAAGCCCCUUCGGGGGUGAGUAGAGUGGCGAACGGGUGAGUAACACGUGGGUAACCUGCCCCUCGCAGGGGGAUAACCGGGGGAAACCCCGGCUAAUACCCCGUACGCUUGCUGGGGCGCAUGCUCCGGCAAGGAAAGGUAGCUUCGGCCAUCCGGCGAGGGAGGGGCCCGCGGCCCAUUAGCUAGUUGGUGGGGUAACGGCCCACCAAGGCGACGAUGGGUAGCUGGCCUGAGAGGGUGGUCAGCCACACUGGGACUGAGACACGGCCCAGACUCCUACGGGAGGCAGCAGCCAGGAAUCUUGCGCAAUGGGCGAAAGCCUGACGCAGCAACGCCGCGGGGGCGAGGAAGGCCUGCGGGUCGUAAAGCCCUGUUGUCGGGGACGAAGGGCGAAGGGUUAAUAGCCCCUAGCCUGACGGUACCCGACGAGGAAGCCCCGGCUAACUACGUG